rnacentral:rRNA from 1 species
UACGUAGGGGGCAAGCGUUGUCCGGAUUUAUUGGGCGUAAAGAGCGUGUAGGCGGCCAGGCAGGUCCGCUGUGAAAACUCGAGGCUCAACCUCGAGAGGUCGGUGGAAACCGUCUGGCUAGAGUCCGGAAGAGGAGAGUGGAAUUCCCGGUGUAGCGGUGAAAUGCGCAGAUAUCGGGAAGAACACCCGUGGCGAAGGCGGCUCUCUGGGACGGUACUGACGCUGAGGCACGAAGGUCAGGGGAGCAAACGGG